rnacentral:rRNA from 1 species
UCCCGUAAGGGAGGCGAACGUGGGGAACUGAAACAUCUAAGUACCCAUAGGAGGAGAAAAUAAACAAUGAUUCCGUAAGUAGUGGCGAGCGAACACGGAAGAGCCCAAACCCAUGUCGUCUAGGCGACACGGGGGUUGUAGGACCACGACGUGGCAAGAGGAUGGCAAGUGGAACGCCUUGGAAAGGGCGACCGUAGAGGGUGAUAGUCCCGUACACGACUGCCUGCCGAAGCCUAGUGGCAUCCUGAGUAGCGCGGGGCACGAGAAAUCUUGCGUGAAACAGCGGGGCCCAUCCCGUAAGGCUAAAUACUCCCGAGAGACCGAUAGCGAACCAGUACCGUGAGGGAAAGGUGAAAAGAACCCCGAGCAGGGGAGUGAAAUAGACCCUGAACCCGUCUGCCUACAAGCGGUCGGAGCAUAGCAAUAUGUGACGGCGUGCCUUUUGCAUAAUGAACCUACGAGUUACCUUCCCCGGCAAGGUUAAGUACCUAAGGUACGGAGCCGAAGCGAAAGCGAGUCUGAAGAGGGCGGCCAGUCGGGGGGGGUAGACGCGAAACCGAGUGAUCUACCCUUGGCCAGGUUGAAGGUUGGGUAACACCAACUGGAGGACCGGAUGGGUAAGCGUUGAAAAGCUUUCCAAUGAGCUGAGGGUAGGGGUGAAAGGCUAAUCAAACUCGGAGAUAGCUCGUACUCCCCGAAAUGCAUUUAGGUGCAGCCUCUUUAUAGUAUAUCGUGAGGUAGAGCGACUGAUUGGAUGCGAGGGCUUCACCGCCUAUCAAGUCCAGAUAAACUCCGAAUGCGCGAUAUAUAUUUACAGGGAGUGAGGGCGCGGGUGCUAAGGUCCGUGUCCGAGAGGAGAAGAAUCCAGACCACCGGCUAAGGCCCCCAAAUGAUCGUUGAGUUGAACUAACGAGGUCGGAUCGCAGAGACAGCUAGGAUGUUGGCUUGGAAGCAGCCAUUCAUUUAAAGAGUGCGUAACAGCUCACUAGUCGAGCGAUCUGGCGUGGAUAAUAAUCGGGCAUAAACGAUCUGCCGAAGCCGUGGAUGUCGUAAGACAUGGUAGGGGAGCAUUCCAUGCGGCGUCGAAGAUGAGGGAUGACCCUUGUUGGAGCGCAUGGAAAAGCAAAUGUAGGUAUGAGUAACGAUAAGGGGGGCGAGAAACCCCCCCGCCGAAAGACCAAGGUUUCCUGAUCAACGCUAAUCGGAUCAGGGUGAGUCGGGACCUAAGGCAAAGCCGAACGGCGCCGCCGAUGGAAGAAUGGGUUAAUAUUCCCAUACUGCCUCAUGGAGUGACGUGGAGACGGAGAAGUGACAGUCCUGCCGGCUGACGGAAUAGCCGGUUGAAGGGUGUAGAUAUUGAUUCCCGUAGGCAAAUCCGCGGGGAGAGUCGAACCUGACAGUAUACCGAGUACUUGUACGAGGUAAUAUGGACGUAACCAUGCUCCCAAGAAAAUCCGCUAAACUUAUCCAUGCGGCACCCGUACCGUAAACGGACACACGUGGUCGGGUUGAGAAUACUGAGGCGCUCGAGUGACUCACGGUUAAGGAACUAGGCAAAUUGACCCUGUAACUUCGGGAUAAAGGGUCCUCGUCGUAAGGCGAGGCGCAGAGAAUAGGUCCAGGCAACUGUUUAACAAAAACACAUGGCUAUGCUAAAUGGAAACAUGACGUAUAUAGCCUGACACCUGCCCGGUGCUGGAAGGUUAAGAGGAGAUGUCAUCGCAAGAGAAGCGUUGAAUUGAAGCCCCAGUAAACGGCGGCCGUAACUAUAACGGUCCUAAGGUAGCGAAAUUCCUUGUCGGGUAAGUUC